AAAAAAAAAAAAGUUCUCUCAUCCGGUACACACGAUUUUACCGUCUCCACCUAAGCAAUACCCAAUAUAUAUAUUUAUAGAAAUUAUUUCAGACACUCCCUCUCGUUUCACGCGAAACCAAAUAAAAAACCACCCAAAAAAUUUCAUUUCCCACUCUAUCUUCUUCUUAUUCUUCCUCUCUGUCUCACACAGAAAGCCCAUACUCUCUCUCUCUCCCUUCACUUUCAAACCCAUACUCGGAAACCCCAAACCCCAAACACAGAAACCCCAAUGGAGAGACCCAUACUCGGAAACACCCAAACCCCAAAUGCAGAAAUCCCAACGGAGAGACCCAAACCCAAACAUCAGUUAUAUAAGGAGUUGUUCUCUCUCCCUACGCCUCUCCUAUCCUCUGCAAUAUCCCUCUCCCUCUCCCUACGCCGAGCCAGCCUCCUCUGCAAUCUUUCUCCCUACGCCUCUCCUCUCCUCUGCAAUCCAACUCAAACUAGGUAUAUCUGUUCUUUCGUGGUUCUCAAUUUGGGGUUAUAUAUUAUCAUGUUUGACUGAGAGAGUUGAAAAUCUAUGUUGGGUCAACUAGUUCUAGUUUUGGAGGUAUCAGAUUUCUGAGCAGAUGCGUGAACUUGGGAUAUGUUCACGAUUAGACCAAGUAUUUGAUGCUCCUUUUGCUGUCAGGGAGGUUUUGACUUCCCAAUGUCGAUUGGAUAAAUUAUAUAUUGGGUCAAGGAAACUGAUCUCAAGGCUGAUGAGGUCUCAAAGCUUGGAAUUUUUGAUUGCUGGACUCCAGAGAAUCACUACCGGUGGUCUAGAUCUAGAUAUGGGGGUCAUGUUUCUGCAACUGUAGAUACGGUUUAGAUGUUAAGGAAAUAGAGAGUCUCAAUGCCAAGAUAAUGGAGCUAGAAGAAGAUAUGACAUCCUUAGAAGGAAGUGUUCGAUCAUUUCAGUCUAAGUAAAGGCGCAUAGAUGAUGAAGCUGCUAGACAUGAAAAAGAACGGGAGGAGAUCAUAAACAUUGCACAACAUGAAUCAAGGAAGCGGCAUGAAAUGCAAAACUGUAUUGAUCAAAAGAAACAGAAAUUAAAAUCACUGGAGAAGGAAGACGACUUGGAUACUCGUAUGGCCGGACUAAUUUACCAGUUUGCAAAAUAUAAUGAGAAUCACUUCAAAUGUGUGAUGAAAUUUAAGAUUAGAGAAUUGGAGGUCAAUUUCAAGAUAAAUGAAAAUCUUCUCUUCAAGCAACAAUGCAUUAUGAAGAUUAUAAAUAUGGAGUUCGUGAUUGUCAAGAGAAACUUUCAGUUGCCAAGAGGCACGCAGAGUCGGUUGCUGUGCUUACUCUUGAACUUGGAAAGGAAUUUCUUGAGGUUUGUUGUAUUAGGACUCAAAUUUGAAGCAUGAAAAUGAUUAUCAGUAUUAGUUCCAUGUUAUGUAUAUAUCAACCUAGAAGUUUCUCAUGUGCGGUUUGAUUUACUGGGAUGGACUUGUAAGUCAUAAGUUUCUGGUUCUAGAAAAUAGACCACUAUAAAUAAUGAAUUCUAACAAAUCAAAAUUAGUAGAAUGAAGCUAUAGGUGUUCUAGGAAGUUAUAGGGCUCAAUAAAUUUCGGAGGUCACUAAUGGACAUGUGACAUUUGUCUCUUCUCAAAAAAAAUUUGUUUAAUAAUGGAUUUUUUUCAUAUAUAUUAUAUGAGCACCAACUUUGGGUUUCUUGGAGAGAUAUGUGUAGUCACAUCCUUUGUGCUGUGGAAUUCAUGCAUCACGAAACGUUAGUUAACCACUGGUUUGAAUUUCCAUGUCUGUGUCAAAUUGCUAUUGAGAUUGGUAUUGAUGAUAUAUUGUCUAACAUUAGUAAUUGUUCAUGUAUAUAACAAACUGUUACAAUAUAAAACUCUCUACAAAUCUGCCAAAUCAGUGGUUUUGUGGCUGUGUUUCUUGCUCUGUUUUGUUUUCCUGUUUGCUGCUAGGGGAUAGCUUAUCAUCAAGUGAUAGCAUAUAUUGGAAUUGGAUAUUGUUUCCAAAUUCAAAUUUUACUUAAUGUAUAUCACAAUCUUGGUUGUAUAUUUUAGACUCUCAAGUGGGCAAGUCUCUUCCCCUCCCCUCUUUUUUUUUUCAUUCCACAAAUUACAGUAUUGAUAUCCUGAAUGUUGGUCAUCUGUAUUUUAUAUAUUUUUUUUUAUUAUCUUCAGAUUGCAUACACAACUAAGAUUUGCCAUACUUGAACUCUAUUUUUGGCAGUUACUAACAUUUCACCCCCUAGAGACCCUAUAUGCAAAUAAUAAGUCAAAAUCAAGGUUUUUGUCGACAUUUCCAUCAUAUUUUUUCUCCUCUUCAAACAAAUUUCCUGUGAAAUCUUCUUUUAUAAUUUUCUUGGGAUUUAUCAUGAAUGAAGUUUAUUCUUCUAUUUCAUAAUUUUUACUAUGCAAAUAUUAUUGGUUCUCUCUUUCAUUUGUUAAUAUAUUAUGGUAAGAUAUACUAUUUAAUUAUAAUUUGAAGUCUUUAAUUCAUUAAUGCAGGGAAUAUCAUAGGAAUGACUUUUAAGGUGGAUGCCUAGAUUUAUUAGGAAGAAUAUUGAGAAAAGAAACAUGAUUGAGUUUGUAGUGAUUUGGAGAAGAGAAUUAUGUUGUCUUGUUGAGAUUUGUUGUAUUAAAUAUUUUGAAGUUUAUGGAUUUAUAAUAUUAUAAUGAAUUUUUAUUGAGAAUUAUUUAGUCUCAUGGGGAUUUGAUUUAUUA